rnacentral:misc_RNA from 1 species
AACAUCGCGCACCUGCGGGAACCUGCGGAAGGAUCAUUACAGAGUUGCAAAACUCCCUAAACCAUUGUGAACGUUACCUAAACCGUUGCCUCGGCGGGCGGCCCGGGUCCUUCCCGGCGCCCAUCGGCCCUCGCGGGCGCCCGCCGGAGGUAAACCAAACUAUUGCAUUGUAUGGCCUCUCUGAGUCUUCUGUACUGAAUAAGUCAAAACUUUUAACAAUGGAUCUCAGAUCGGAAGAGC